rnacentral:rRNA from 1 species
GAUGAACGCUAGCGGCUGGCUUAAUACAUGCAAGUCGAGGGGCAGCAUGAUUGUAGCAAUACAAUUGAUGGCGACCGGCAAACGGGUGCGGAACACGUACACAACCUUCCAACAAGUGGGGGAUAGCCCAGAGAAAUUUGGAUUAAUACCCCGUAACAUAGCGAUGUGGCAUCACAUUGCUAUUAUAGAUUUUUCGCUUGUUGAUGGGUGUGCGGCUGAUUAGAUAGUUGGCGGGGUAACGGCCCACCAAGUCUACGAUCAGUAGCUGAUGUGAGAGCAUGAUCAGCCACACGGGCACUGAGACACGGGCCCGACUCCUACGGGAGGCAGCAGUAAGGAAUAUUGGACAAUGGACGCAAGUCUGAUCCAGCCAUGCCGCGUGAAGGAUUAAGGUCCUCUGGAUUGUAAACUUCUUUUAUAAGGGACGAAAAAAGGCUUUUCUAAGUCGUCUGACGGUACCUUAUGAAUAAGCACCGGCUAACUCCGUGCCAGCCGCCGCUGUAACAC